rnacentral:rRNA from 1 species
AUAUCAAUAAGCGGAGGAAAAGAAACCAACAGGGAUUGCCUUAGUAGCGGCGAGUGAAGCGGCAAAAGCUCAAAUUUGAAAUCUGGCACCUUCGGUGUCCGAGUUGUAAUUUGAAGAUUGUAACCUUGGGGUUGGCUCUUGUCUAUGUUUCUUGGAACAGGACGUCACAGAGGGUGAGAAUCCCGUGCGAUGAGAUGCCCAAUCCUAUGUAAGGUGCUUUCGAAGAGUCGAGUUGUUUGGGAAUGCAGCUCUAAGUGGGUGGUAAAUUCCAUCUAAAGCUAAAUAUUGGCGAGAGACCGAUAGCGAACAAGUACAGUGAUGGAAAGAUGAAAAGAACUUUGAAAAGAGAGUGAAAAAGUACGUGAAAUUGUUGAAAGGGAAGGGUUUGAGAUCAGACUCGAUAUUUUGUGAGCCUUGCCUUCGUGGCGGGGUGACCCGCAGCUUAUCGGGCCAGCAUCGGUUUGGGCGGUAGGAUAAUGGCGUAGGAAUGUGACUUUGCUUCGGUGAAGUGUUAUAGCCUGCGUUGAUGCUGCCUGCCUAGACCGAGGACUGCGAUUUUAUCAAGGAUGCUGGCAUAAUGAU